AAACAAUACAUAAUCAACAAUUAAAUAAUUAAAGAGUAAGAAAGAAAUUGAAUUUGGGCCUCCUUUUGGGCCAAAUUCGCUGAAAUUUUUGGGGUUUAAACCUAAACCCGUUUUUGUAUACACCUGAUGUAUAUUAGUGUAUAUGAGCUUAUAUAUCAGCUCUUUUCAUGUAUCUCUUGCUCCCGAACACCUGUAUUUCGCCUCAGCCCUAUGUUUUUACGUUUUGGCCACAUAUUUGCUGCACUGAACCUGUAUAUCAGUGUAUAAUGUUGUAUACAAACUGCAUACAGCCCAUUUUCGGACUUUUCGAAAUUAUGUUUCAGCUUCCCGUUCAAUUCCGCUUCUUGAUCCAUUUCGAGGCAGACUCGAGAAAAGCGAUCAUUAGGCCACCUUGGCCCCAAAAUCGGAAAUGCAAUGGGACGAGAGUCCAUUGGACUCGGGAGGACAUCUCUUUCCGGGCAGCGAAUCGGGACAGGAACGAGCAGAGGAACGACAACUUCGCUACCACAACGAGAUUCCG
rnacentral:lncRNA from 1 species